UACGUAGGGGGCUAGCGUUGUCCGGAUUUAUUGGGCGUAAAGAGCGUGUAGGCGGCCAGGUAGGUCUGCUGUGAAAACUCGAGGCUCAACCUCGAGACGUCGGCGGAAACCAUCUGGCUAGAGUCCGGAAGAGGAGAGUGGAAUUCCUGGUGUAGCGGUGAAAUGCGUAGAGAUCGGAAGGAACACCAGUGGCGAAGGCGGCUACCUGGCCUAAUACCGACACUGAGGCACGAAAGCGUGGGGAGCAAACAGG
rnacentral:rRNA from 1 species